UACGGAGGGUGCGAGCGUUGUCCGGAAUCACUGGGCGUAAAGGGCGCGUAGGCGGCGCGGGCAGUCAACGGUGAAAGCUUGGGGCUCAACCCCGAGUCGGCCGUCGAUACUCCCGUGCUUGAGCACUGUAGAGGCAGUUGGAAUUCCGGGUGUAGCGGUGGAAUGCGUAGAGAUCCGGAAGAACACCGGUGGCGAAGGCGGCCUGCUGGGCAGUAGCUGACGCUGAUGCGCGACAGCGUGGGGAGCAAACAGG
rnacentral:rRNA from 1 species